ensembl:lncRNA
AAAAUGUAUGAAAGUAUAAGCCUACACAAUUUACAAUAUCCAUUUUCCUGAAUAUGUUUAAACAUUCAUACCCCUAUUAUCUUCUUCUGUUUCCCUUUCUUCAGGUGUGUGAGGAGAGACUGCAGUUCUCUCUCUGUGAGAACGUUAAAACGAACGUCCUCCGGGGGCGACAGUGAGCGACAGCGUCAUUCUCCACCCAUGGGGAGACCAGCCCUUAGAUGGGGGCGGAGACACAGUCAGUGUGAAGGAUGUAGGAAGGUAUGCUCUCUCUAUCACAGGAAGUUGGUGGCACCUUAAUUGGGGAGGAGGGGCUCGUGGUAAUGGAUGGAACAGAAUCGGUGGAAUGUCAUCAAAUACAUCAAACACAUGGUUUGAUGCCAAUCCAUUGGCUCCAUUUCAUCCAUUAUCAUGAGUUGUCCUCCCCUCAGCAACCUCCACUGCCCUCUAUGUAUUUUGAGAUUUAUCAAACUGUUGUGUUGAAUGAUGGCAGGCAGACAGAUAAUAAAGAAGAUAUCUUUUUUUCUGUUCUUAGCGAAGAGGAGCCGGACACCGAACCCAAUUCUGAACCCCAGAGUGAGUCUGAUGCGACUGACAGUGAACCACUGACUGUGAUCCAGCAGCCAGAAGUUACACCCCCUCAGCCUGUGGCAAACCAAGCAAUGAAAGCCAAACUGGCUCGCCUGUCCCUCUCCCUCCCUCCUCUCCCUCUUGCUCUCCCUCUCUCCUCCAGUCCCAAGGGAGGGUUCAGGGAGGGCGGGCUACAUCGAGACAGGAGUGGGAGACGGAGGGGUGCGUCCCCAGGAAGUGACCCCGAUGAGGAUGAGGAAGAAGAGCAGGAAGACGAAGGCUCCAGGAGGGUGAUUGUUGUCACGGAAACAGACGUUGGCAAAAGGGUGGGGCUCAGGAGUCUGCUGAAGUCGCCAAGGGAACCGAUAGACAAAGAGAAAGACAGAGGGAGAAACGUGUCCUUUUUGAUGAUGUCACUGUCUAUCUCUUUGAUCAGGUGUUUGUUUAGUUCCCCCCUACCCCCUCAUAUAUUGAGUCCCAUGUUACUCUUGGGCUUUUAACACUUUCACUAUAUUGGAUGUACAUGUACUGUCUCUGCUCCUUUUCAGUCCCUGACUCUUCCUCUCUGUUUCUGAAACAGGAAACUCCAACUAGUGAGCUGAGUAGUUCCACCCGCACCAGUCCAGCUCCAGCUCCUAACAAAAGCACUAAAUUUGAUUUACAUGGUACGUACUACGUAUGCAUGCAUGUUGCUAUUAGAAACAAUAUAACGGUCCUGUACAUCAUUCCCUUCUGAGAGCCAAUAGAAAGCUUUUGAUGAAAUCACUACAAUAACAAGCACCCAUUGGACAGCUCCCAUCUGAUCCCCACUCACUGAAAUUGAGAACCCCUCACACCAACCCCUUUUCUAAAUAUGCGCCCCCAAAAUGUAUCUCUUGUAAUUAUCCCCCACACACUGUGACAUGGGGAAUGGAGUGUGGACAUAAAUCUGGUGCUCAACAAUGCACGUCUAAGAUGUGUUUUCCACCCUGUCUCCAGAAGCCGUCCGCUCUGUCUCUCCCACUGAUCGCUUCAUUUCACAGAAUAAUGAGAGUUUUGGCUGAUCCCCUCUGGGUGUUUUGAAUAGACUGUAUGUAGAAAAGCAUCAACACCAAAAUAAUCUACUUUCAUGAUCUCUGUCAGCCUGCAGAGUUGAACAGUUCAAAGCUUUGCAAGGAGAAAGUUUAUUUUUAACUUGGGAGUGUGGGCCUUUUUGUGUUUCGGUUCUACAAGAGGAUAGUUGUACACACG